rnacentral:rRNA from 1 species
AUGAAAUUGGAAUCUGUUCCCUGUUUAGGCAAGGGUGAUAAUAACUCGUACAAUCCAGAUUUUCUUCUUUUUAAUAGCUUAGUACAGAUUUUAAUUUUAGAACAUAACAGGACUAGUUUAUUGUUAGUGUUUUAUUAUAGAAAUUUGAGGGAGUUCAAGAUUGAUACAGUAUACUACUCCCUCCGUCCCGAAAAACAUGUCGCGAGGGUUAUUUUUCAAAAAAACCCUCAAGUUUCUCCUGACCAAACCCGCACUCCUCGUCAUCCUCCUCCGACAGUAUCCCCAGCUGUGCUGCUCCCCGCCGCCGUCGCUUCCCCGCUCCCCCGCCGCAGCUGCUCUGCUCCCCGCCGCGGCGGCUCCCCUGCUCCUCCACUCCCUCGCCGCAGCUGCCUCCUGCUCCGUCGCCGCUCGCUGCCUCCCCAAGCUCCCCCCUUCCUCACAAAAAUCUUCGAUUUCCGCCGCGCUGAUGAGCUCGACGACGAGGCGUCGCGGCUGGCGUUGUAG